GAAUGAGAAGAGAAGAGAAGGAUAAUAAGAAUUCUGAGGAACAUCAACAUUUAAAACGGAAAUGAAGAAAAGCCUGCGAAGAAGACUGCAAAGGUAGGCCAAGACCUAAAGGUGGUUCUGGAAUUAUUUGAUAUUGGGUGGCAGAUGAGGAAACUGGAGCAAGGAGAGGAUUUUGCUCCAAAGUCUAAUGGCUAACUGAGCUGAGGUUUGAAUCCAGGCAAUAGUCACCAGAGCUGCACUCACAAACUCAAAACUGUAGUGUGAGGAAGGUGGAUCACAUGCUUUGGAAGUAUUUCAGGCUGGGAAGUCUUCCAGUUUCUGGAAGAAAGAUAUGAUAAAGCCCAUAACAGAGGAUAUGGGAGCCAGCCAAGGAAGUGAACCCAUACACAUGUUCCCAGCUUCUACAGAGGGCCAAAUUCUGAUAGGAAAUUCUUUACGUGUGUGUGUGUGUGUGUGUGUGUGUGUGUGUGUAAUUUUAAGUUCUGGGAUACAUGUGCAGUAUGUGCAGUUUUGUUACAUAGGUAUACAUGUGCCAUGGUGGUUUGCUGCACCACUGAUAGGAAAUUAGGUAGCCACACACACAAGUAUAGACAUGGCUACUGAGUAAGACUUAUGAAAAUCUAGCUCUUAGCACAACUGUAAGCACAGAAUGAAUUUAGCAAACUUUUCCACAUCUCUGCAGACAAAGCCCUGGUUUUUAGUACAGACAUCCUGAAAGGUUACUUAUCCUGAUGUCAGGUGUAGCCUUGAGAAGUCCA
rnacentral:lncRNA from 10 species